GACAGAGGGUGCAAACGUUGUUCGGAAUUACUGGGCGUAAAGCGCGCGUAGGCGGCUUUGCAAGUCGGGGUGUGAAAUCCCCAGGCUUAACCUGGGAACUGCAUUCGAGACUGCAUUGCUAGAGUAUGGGAGAGGGAAGUGGAAUUUCCGGUGUAGCGGUGAAAUGCGUAGAUAUCGGAAGGAACAUCAGUGGCGAAAGCGACUUCCUGGACCAAUACUGACGCUCAUGUGCGAAAGCGUGGGGAGCAAACAGG
rnacentral:rRNA from 1 species